GAAAUGCGAUAAGUAAUGUGAAUUGCAGAAUUCCGUGAAUCAUCGAAUCUUUGAACGCACAUUGCGCCCUCUGGUAUUCCGGGGGGCAUGCCUGUCCGAGCGUCAUUGCGAACCCCUCAAGCACGGCUUGUGAUGGGCCCUCCCGCGUCUUGGUCGUCAAGACGGGCCCGAAAUGCAGUGGCGGCUUCGCGGUUAUCCGAUCAGCCAGAGCGUAUGGGGACUCUCUCUCUUGUCACACGCCCGCGGCGCGGACCGACGCCUGUCGACCUUUAUUCAUCUUCUCUCGGUUGACCUCGGAUCAGGUAGGGAUACCCGCUGAACUUAAGC
rnacentral:misc_RNA from 1 species